GACGAACGCUGGCGGCGUGCUUAACACAUGCAAGUCGAACGGAAAGGCCCUGCUUUUGUGGGGUGCUCUAGUGGCGAACGGGUGAGUAACACGUGAGUAACCUGCCCUUGACUUUGGGAUAACUUCAGGAAACUUGGGCUAAUACCGGAUAGGAGCUCCUGCUGCAUGGUGGGGGUUGGAAAGUUUCGGCGGUUGGGGAUGGACUCGCGGCGUAUCAGCUUGUUGGUGGGGUAGUGGCUUACCAAGGCUUUGACAGGUAGCCGGCCUGCGAGGGUGACAGGCCAAAUUGGGACUGAGAUAAGGCCCAGACCCCUACGGGAGGCAGCAGUGGGGAAUAUAGCACAAUGGGCGGAAGCCUGAUGCAGCACCGCCGCGUGCGGGAUGACGGCAUUCGGGUUGUAAACCGCUUUCGCCUGUGACGAAGCGUGAGUGACGGUAAUGGGUAAAGAAGCACCGGCUAACUACGUG
rnacentral:rRNA from 1 species